UUUUGGGUGGCUUUUAAGAAACCUGACCUCAGGAUUGUGGGGUGCUGGAACUCGUUGCUAUUGCCUAAUUUUAAAUACAGAGAUAUAUUUACAGAGACACAAUUAACAAUACAUAACAUUGCUUGACAGCUGGGAUCAAACCAGAGGAUUCCAUGCUGAGAUCGCUUGUCUUCAAAGACCUCAUCUAAGCCCUGCAAGAUGCACUCUGGAACUUCGUGAGUCACUGUAUGGCCACCUAUUACAGCAAAGCCUACAGAGAUAAUGCUUCAUUAACCUCCCGUGACAUACAAUUUACUGCCAAGAAUCAGAAGCCCAAAUUGUGAUGCCUGGAGAAAGUUUAACUAAGACACCCCUGCACUAAAAAUGUGGUGUCCUGGUUCAGGCCUUCUAUACCCUUGAAUAAGCAACAAAAGCAAUCUAACCAGCUGCAACUCCACUGGUUAAAACCUGCACUGGACUAAAAAGAAACCGCUCCUGCUGAAGUAACACACAUGAGUCAUUGAAGUCAAGUUCAUAACUUAUCUGAUCUUUAAGAUUGAAAUAACUCUCUUCCCUUCCCCAGCAACCUCUGCAAAGUGGAUAACACAGAGAUGAAGGAAUGUGCAACAUCCACCCUGUAAGAAACAGAUGGGCAACCAUACUCCACAACAGCUGCAAUCUCUUCAUUUCAAGGGAAAUGAUGUCACCAUUUCUCCAUGUGUGGUCCAUCGCCGUCUAACCUGGGUGGCACCAGUUCAGCGCUUCUAUUAAAUGUGAAAUGAGAUCAAAUUAAUUUGGCCUUUGGACUCACCCAAGGUAAGCCCACACGGUUUACUAACUGUGUUCAAUAAACAGCUCCUUCCAAAGGUGUGAUUCAGAAGGAAUGGGAAAGCAGCAGCACAAGGCUGCAGUCAGUGUGAUUGCUGAGUUUUUAAUCCAGAAGAAGGGGGCAUUCCUCCCAGCCCACGAGAAGAGGUGGUGAAGGAGAGUGGGGAAAAGAGGAGGAUGAAGACGUGGUUGUUCGUGUGGCAGAAAGCUGAGGUAAGCCUCCAGAAGGGGUGAGAAGACAGAUGCUGUGAAAUCUAAUGUUUUGUGGAGUGAGGCCUUGUCUGUCUGCUGGCUUUUGGCUAUAGUAAGGCAUCUUAUCUGUUGUAGAAUACCUCACUUGUAACCUGCAACAUCUUUUGUAAAAAUGACCUUGGAGUACUGAUGUGGUGAAUAGAGCUUUGCCAAGGUCUUUGGUUUCUUUGUGCCCUUAGCUCUGCUAAGAGAAGCAUUUUGGGAGACAACAG